AACUCCUCGUUGGAGAAGCAGGGCACGUGCAAGUGUUUUGGCUCUCAAAUGCCACUCAAUCUUUGCACGUGCUCCCCUUCUCCAACACGGGUUC
rnacentral:pre_miRNA from 1 species